UCCAGGUGGCACCCGGCAGUCUGCCGAUGCAUUUCCCUCCACCGCGUAGAACCGCACGACGUCCUCAACUGGCGCGUCAAGAACAAGCGCCACCGUGAGUCAUCAUUCUGUCCUUCACUCGAGUCAUCAAGGUCCAGAAAUCAUUAACUAAUUCACUAAUUCUCAAGUCCAGAGCAGUACUUUUCAGAGGUGACGAUAGAAGCGGCAUCCGACUUCAACAACGUCGUGGAGGCCUUUGGUUAAGAUGAGUUUCCGUACGUCGGAGGCGUAGCUUCUCGAACCAAGGUCGUUGGUCGGGUUUUCACGGCCAACGGAUCACCGCCGGACCGGCAGAUCCCUUUUCACCACGAAUUGGCCCAGGUACUCAUUGUACUUUGUCCCACAUUUUUGGGCCUUUUGAUUUUAGGGACUUGUACAAGAUCUUUCUGAUUAAUAUCGAUGAAUGGAAAUUGAUUACUUAGUAGCAUCGUUUAAUUUGUAGCUCUGAAUUAACAAUGUAAUAAAGGGGUUUGAUCUCUGAAAUGACUUGGGAUUCGGUCGAAGUACUUGGAAGGACUUAGAUUGAUGAUUUGAAAUCAUGUUAAAAUGCAUAGAAAUUACAUAUUCUCUGAGAAAGGAAAUCGAGUUACUUGAAAGGAUGAAGAUUGAUUUCCACGAUAAUCAAAUUUGUUUCACUGCAUGAUAAUAGAGCCUAUGAACAAUUGGUCUUACUAGAACCUACACGUUCUUGCCUUAUAUCAAACAUUUUUGCACCUAACCUUUUCUCUCUACUGUCUUGUGUGUUCUAUCAUAUAUUAGUUCAAAAUGCUUUGUUUACAGUUUGAACAAGAACUUCACUUAUCAAGUCGGUUUAACAAACCUAAACUUUAUCCGGGGCUUGAGGAUUGUUGGGAGGGAGUCCCACGUGCUAAUUUAGAAAAUGAUCAUGGAAAAGCCCAAAGCAAAGCAAAGCCACGAGAGUUUAUGCUCAAAGUGGACAAUAUCAUACCAUUGUGGAGAUCCGUGAUUUCUAACACAACUAAGUUGGAGUGGUUAAAAGAUGGAGUGAAAACAAUGAUGGAUCCAAUCCCAGCUAUCAAGUAUGAUGAAGUACCACAGCGCGAAAUUUGGUUUAACAGCAUGGUUGCAGCUAACACCGGCUAGGAAGAUGCGAGGAAUGUCCUGUGAAGGCCGUAAUGUUUCGGGACGGUACGCCAUUGCCAGCGGAUAUCAUCAAUGGCUGCUUGAGAAUUCUGGAACAGGAGUCUCUUUCCAUUCCCUGGCAGAAAGGUAAACCCAUCACGAAGUCCUGAAACUCAGGGACAUUCAUGUAGGACCAAGAUUAUGGCAGUUCUCAAGCAGAUGAUUGAUUCAUUGAGACAUCAACUGAAAUCCAAUUAAUGUUGUCAUUGAAGGGGAUGAAAUAAAGCUCGUCGAGGUGAAUGUCGAACAUUGUCAAAGGCGGACCCCUGCCAAAUAUGAUCUUGACCAUCUGGGCGACUUGGUUAGAAAACAGUAAGUAUAUGCAGCUAAGUACCACGUUGGUGCGAGAUUUUAUGGAAAUUUUGGAUACCAACUAGAGCUUUCUUCAAACAAGCUCUAACACACCAUGCGAUCUUAAGUAAGCUUACUCUAAUCCAAAUUCAAACGGAAUACUAAUUUAAACUUUGAUGGGUACGUGGUCGUGGACAAAUACAAACCAAUUAGGGCUACCUUUGAACGCCUCAAAUUGCACGUCAACCACGUGAACAUUUCUUUUCCAACAAAACGUUGUUAUGGUUGAAAAUGGAGACUUAAAUAGAUGAACUAUGAUUAUAAGUUAGAAGAAGAUUAUUGGAGGCAGCAUCAAGUCUUGGCUGAGAUCACAUAUUCUGCAACAGCUUUGACAAAGGAUUUUUUAACCCAUUCCACAUCCUUUUGUCAAAUUUAAUGAUAACAGAUUGAAAUUUUUUUUGGGUUUCUUUUUAUGGUUUGAUUCCCACUCUAUGCCCAUAACACACUGCAUUUUCCAACCAUGCUCUCCUUUCUUCCAUUCUCAUGACUUUGAAGAGCGUCGGUUUGG